GAUCCUGGCUCAAGACGAACGCUGGCGGCGUGCUUAACACAUGCAAGUCGAACGGAGCACCCUUGAUUGAGGUUUCGGCCAAAUGAUAGGAAUGCUUAGUGGCGGACUGGUGAGUAACGCGUGAGGAACCUGCCUUUCAGAGGGGGGACAACAGUUGGAAACGACUGCUAAUACCGCAUGACGCAUUUUGAUCGCAUGGUCGAAAUGCCAAAGAUUUAUCGCUGAAAGAUGG
rnacentral:rRNA from 1 species